rnacentral:rRNA from 1 species
GAUGAACGCUGGCGGCGUGCCUAAUACAUGCAAGUCGAGCGAACGGACGAGAAGCUUGCUUCUCUGAUGUUAGCGGCGGACGGGUGAGUAACACGUGGAUAACCUACCUAUAAGACUGGGAUAACUUCGGGAAACCGUAGCUAAUACCGGAUAAUAUUUUGAACCGCAUGGUUCAAAAGUGAAAGACGGUCUUGCUGUCACUUAUAGAUGGAUCCGCGCUGCAUUAGCUAGUUGGUAAGGUAACGGCUUACCAAGGCAACGAUUCAUAGCCGACCUGAGAGGGUGAUCGGCCACACUGGAACUGAGACACGGUCCAGACUCCUACGGGAGGCAGCAGUAGGGAAUAUUCCGCAAUGGGCGAAAGCCUGACGGAGCAACGCCGCGUGAGUGAUGAAGGUCUUCGGAUCGUAAAACUCUGUUAUUAGGGAAGAACAUAUGUGUAAGUAACUGUGCACAUCUUGACGGUACCUAAUCAGAAAGCCACGGCUAACUACGUG